rnacentral:snRNA from 1 species
GGAUCCGAGAGUGAUCUAGCUCUGACAUCUGUCACCCCAUUGAUUGCCAGCGUGGAUUUGACUGAUCUGGCUGGCUAGAGGGGUGUCUGCUUUCUCCUUCACUGCUCCAUAUGUGUCCUUCCAGAAGCUGCAAGCUCAGUCAAAGAGGACAACAUGUUCCAAUAGAGGAGGACUGUACCUUGGUCAAGGGUAUAUGAUAGCUGUGCUCCCUUGCUAGAGACUCCAAACAAGCUCUCUAAGUCUAAGGUCAGGGAGGGCAAGGGGAACUAGGAGAAACAUCAAAUGAGUACAAU